UCCGUAGGGAGCAAGAGAUAAUCGGAAUUACUGGGCGUAAAGCGUGCACAGGCGGUUUUGUAAGUCUGAUGUGAAAUCCCCGGGCUAAACCUGGGAAUUGCAUUGGAGACUGCAAGGCUAGAAUCUGGCAGAGGGGGGUAGAAUUCCACGUGUAGCAGUGAAAUGCGUAGAGAUGUGGAGGAACACCGAUGGCGAAGGCAGCCCCCUGGGUCAAGAUUGACGCUCAUGCACGAAAGCGUGGGGAGCAAACAGG
rnacentral:rRNA from 1 species